UCCGAGUUGUCCCCGGCAGUCCUCUUAGAGUCCCCGGCAUUACCCGCUGGUAACUAUGAACAAGGGUUGCGCUCGUUGCGGGACUUAACCCAACAUCUCACGACACGAGCUGACGACAGCCAUGCACCACCUGUGAAGGUGCCCCGAAGGGAAGCCGUGUUUCCACGGCGGUCACCCACAUGUCAAGCCCAGGUAAGGUUCUUCGCGUUGCGUCGAAUUAAACCACAUGCUCCGCUGCUUGUGCGGGUCCCCGUCAAUUCCUUUGAGUUUUAGCCUUGCGGCCGUACUCCCCAGGCGGGGCACUUAAUGCGUUAGCUACGUCACGGGAGGAGUCGACACCUCCCACAACUAGUGCCCAUCGUUUACGGCGUGGACUAC
rnacentral:misc_RNA from 1 species